rnacentral:rRNA from 1 species
UACGUAGGGUGCAAGCAUUAAUCGGAAUUAUUGGGCGUAAAGGGCGCGUAGGCGGAUAAACAAGUCGGAUGUGAAAUUCCAAAGCUCAACUUUGGAGCGGCGUCCGAAACUAUUUGUCUAGAGGUAUGGAGGAGAAAGCGGAAUUCCACAAGUAGCGGUGAAAUGCGUAGAUAUGUGGAAGAACACCUGUGGCGAAAGCGGCUUUCUAUCCUACACCUGACGCUGAGGCGCGAGAGCGUGGGGAGCAAACAGG